rnacentral:rRNA from 1 species
GACGAACGCUGGCGGCGUGCCUAACACAUGCAAGUCGAACGGAGUCAAUCCUUCGGGGUUGACUUAGUGGCGGACGGGUGAGUAACGCGUGAGGAACCUGCCUUGGAGUGGGGGAUAACACAGGGAAACUUGUGCUAAUACCGCAUAAUGCAAAGAGAUGGCAUCAUUUUUUUGCCAAAGAUUUAUUGCUCUGAGAUGGCCUCGCGUCUGAUUAGAUAGUUGGUGAGGUAACGGCCCACCAAGUCUGCGAUCAGUAGCCGGACUGAGAGGUUGAACGGCCACAUUGGGACUGAGACACGGCCCAGACUCCUACGGGAGGCAGCAGUGGGGAAUAUUGCGCAAUGGGGGAAACCCUGACGCAGCAACGCCGCGUGAAGGAUGAAGGUUUUCGGAUUGUAAACUUCUUUGACACAGGACGAAUAAUGACGGUACUGUGAAAACAAGCCACGGCUAACUACGUG